GUCGAGCGAACAGACGAGGAGCUUGCUCCUCUGACGUUAGCGGCGGACGGGUGAGUAACACGUGGAUAACCUACCUAUAUGACUGGGAUAACUUCGGGAAACCGGAGCUAAUACCGGAUAAUAUAUUGAACCGCAUGGUUCAAUAGUGAAAGACGGUUUUGCUGUCACUUAUAGAUGGAUCCGCGCCGCAUUAGCUAGUUGGUAAGGUAACGGCUUACCAAGGCGACGAUGCGUAGCCGACCUGAGAGGGUGAUCGGCCACACUGGAACUGAGACACGGUCCAGACUCCUACGGGAGGCAGCAGUAGGGAAUCUUCCGCAAUGGGCGAAAGCCUGACGGAGCAACGCCGCGUGAGUGAUGAAGGUCUUCGGAUCGUAAAACUCUGUUAUUAGGGAAGAACAAAUGUGUAAGUAACUAUGCACGUCUUGACGGUACCUAAUCAGAAAGCCACGGCUAACUACGUGCCAGCAGCCGCGGUAAUACGUAGGUGGCAAGCGUUAUCCGGAAUUAUUGGGCGUAAAGCGCGCGUAGGCGGUUUUUUAAGUCUGAUGUGAAAGCCCACGGCUCAACCGUGGAGGGUCAUUGGAAACUGGAAAACUUGAGUGCAGAAGAGGAAAGUGGAAUUCCAUGUGUAGCGGUGAAAUGCGCAGAGAUAUGGAGGA
rnacentral:rRNA from 1 species